rnacentral:rRNA from 1 species
GACGAACGCUGGCGGCGUGCUUAACACAUGCAAGUCGUACGGUAAGGCCCUUUCGGGGGUACACGAGUGGCGAACGGGUGAGUAACACGUGAGUAACCUGCCCACAACUUUGGGAUAACGCUAGGAAACUGGUGCUAAUACUGGAUAUGUGCUCCUGCUGCAUGGUGGGGGUUGGAAAGCUCCGGCGGUUGUGGAUGGAUUCGCGGCCUAUCAGCUUGUUGGGGGGGUAGUGGCCUACCAAGGCGGCGUCGGGUAGCCGGACUGAGAGGGUGACCGGCCACAUUGGGACUGAGAGACGGCCCAGACACCGACGGGAGGCAGCAGUGGGGAAUAUUGCACGAGGGGCGCAAGCCUGAUGCAGCAACGCCGCGUGCGGGAUGACGGCCUUCGGGUUGUAAACCGCUUUCAGCAGGGACGAAGCUUUUUGUGACGGUACCUGCAGAAGAAGCACCGGCUAACUACGUG